rnacentral:rRNA from 1 species
GAGCGCCCCGCAAGGGGAGCGGCAGACGGGAGAGUAACACGUGGGAACGUGCCCUUCAGUUCGGAACAACCCAGGGAAACUUGGGCUAAUACCGGAUACGUCCGUAAGGAGAAAGAUUUAUCGCUGAAGGAUCGGCCCGCGUCUGAUUAGCUAGUUGGUGAGGUAACGGCCUACCAAGGCGACGAUCCGUAGCUGGUCUGAGAGGACGACCAGCCACACUGGGACUGAGACACGGCCCAUACUCCUACGGGAGGCAGCAGUGGGGAAUAUUGGACAAUGGGGGCAACCCUGAUCCAGCGACGCCGCGUGUGUGAAGAAGGCCUGCGGGUUGUAAAGCACUUUUAGUGGGGAUGAAAAGCUCAGGGAUAACACCUCUGGGUCUUGACCUAACCCACAGAAAAAGCACCGGCUAACUCUGUGCCAGCAGCCGCGGUAAU